GACGGGGGGGGCUAGCGUUGCUCGGAAUUACUGGGCGUAAAGCGCACGUAGGCGGGUUCUUAAGUCGGUGGUGAAAUCCUGGAGCUCAACUCCAGAACUGCCUUCGAAACUGGGAAUCUUGAGUCCGGGAGAGGUGAGUGGAACUGCGAGUGUAGAGGUGAAAUUCGUAGAUAUUCGCAAGAACACCAGUGGCGAAGGCGGCUCACUGGCCCGGUACUGACGCUGAGGUGCGAAAGCGUGGGGAGCAAACAGG
rnacentral:rRNA from 1 species